rnacentral:rRNA from 1 species
CACACGUGCUACAAUGGUUGGUACAACGAGUUGCGAGUCGGUGACGGCGAGCUAAUCUCUUAAAGCCAAUCUCAGUUCGGAUUGUAGGCUGCAACUCGCCUACAUGAAGUCGGAAUCGCUAGUAAUCGCGGAUCAGCACGCCGCGGUGAAUACGUUCCCGGGCCUU